CACGUAGGCGGGUAUUUAAAUCAGGGGUGGAAUCCCAGAGCUCAACUCUGGAACUGCCUUUGAUACUGGGUACCUAGAGUAUGGAAGAGGUAAGUGGAAUUCCGAGUGUAGAGGUGAAAUUCGUAGAUAUUCGGAGGAACACCAGUGGCGAAGGCGGCUUACUGGUCCAUUACUGACGCUGAGGUGCGAAAGCGUGGGGAGCAAACA
rnacentral:rRNA from 1 species